rnacentral:rRNA from 1 species
UACGAAGGGUGCAAGCGUUACUCGGAAUUACUGGGCGUAAAGCGUGCGUAGGUGGUGAGUUAAGUCUGAUGUGAAAUCCCCGGGCUCAACCUGGGAAUGGCAUUGGAUACUGGCUCGCUAGAGUGCGGUAGAGGGUGGUGGAAUUCCCGGUGUAGCAGUGAAAUGCGUAGAGAUCGGGAGGAACAUCUGUGGCGAAGGCGGCCACCUGGACCAACACUGACACUGAGGCACGAAAGUGUGGGGAGCAAACAGG